GGGCUGGGGCUCAGUGGUAGAGUGCUCACCCAGCACAUGUGAAGCCCUGGGUUCGAUCCUCAGCACCACA
rnacentral:tRNA from 1 species